UCAAUCAGUAGUAGUCAUUCUGAAUGCUGAUAAUCUGAUUCAGUGUCGGUCGAACGACUUGGCAAACGGUUGUUCGUCUCGUAUUCGUGUGGUGGCUCCCGGACGGCACGCGUUCGAAUACGGUUGCAAUAAUAUUGUCCCAUUCUCUUGUGUUUUUGUAUAAUCGUACGUCGUUUUUUAUCUUACUCUACGUUGUUGUUGUUUUUAUUAUUAUUAUUAUUAUCGUCUUUUGUCUUACCAGCCGCUGGUCCUUAUCACGCGCGUAAGUGUCCCACUGCCUAGACAAAACAAUAAUUUUCCUUCGAUUCCGAGAUAAUUAAUCAUAAAUAAUUUAAAACGUGUACGUUGACGAGUGUACUACAACACAAUAUUUUACGGGAUCUACGUUGCUAACCGUGUCGGUGGAUCCGCGAGCUCACUGGUCGUCGUCGUCGUCGAUUAUCACGCACCGUAAAUGAGAACGAAACCCGCCGUGCGCCGGAAUUCGUGGACUAACCGUCACUGACGUACUGUUAUGGCUGUGGUCGGCCCGAGCCGACACUCCAGGGUGUCAAUGUCGCUGAUGCAGGGCUCAACGAACGGUCCAGUGGGCAACCACCAGCAGGCCAGUGCCUCGCAACAGUUUUUCCACGCUCAGCAGCAGUCUCACCAUGCCGCGCAAUCGGCCACCGCACAUCCGGUGGACUAUAAGCCCGACAGACCGAUUGGAUAUGGCGCCUUUGGAGUCGUCUGGGCUGUUACAGAUCCACGAGACGGACGAAGAGUCGCGUUGAAAAAGCUUCCAAAUGUUUUUCAAUCUCUAGUUUCCUCGAAACGAGUUUUUAGAGAGUUAAAAAUGUUAUGCAAUUUUAAACACGAAAAUGUAUUGUCCGCCCUUGACAUUCUGCAACCGCCUCAUUUGGAUUUCUUUCAAGAAAUAUACGUGAUAACCGAACUAAUGCAGAGCGACUUGCACAAAAUUAUUGUGUCACCGCAGCAGCUGUCGCCGGACCAUAUAAAAGUGUUUCUCUAUCAAAUCCUCAGGGGUCUUAAGUAUUUACAUUCUGCACGAAUAUUACACAGAGACAUCAAACCAGGAAAUCUUCUCGUCAACAGUAAUUGUAUUCUAAAGAUAUGUGACUUUGGUCUGGCCAGAGUAGAAGAACCGGAUGAGACGAAACACAUGACUCAAGAAGUAGUAACGCAAUAUUAUAGGGCACCGGAAAUAUUAAUGGGAGCCAAACACUACACAUCGGCCAUAGACGUGUGGAGCGUCGGUUGUAUAUUCGCCGAACUCGUCACUCGGCGGAUACUAUUCCAAGGCCAAGACACGGUUCAACAAUUGGAGUUGAUAACGGACUUGCUCGGUACGCCAACCAUGGAAGACAUGGCCCACGCGUGUCCGGCCGCCCGUUCCCAUAUGCUCAUACGACGCAUGAAGAAACCGUCCAUGUCGUUAUUGUACUCUUUGUCUUCGUUGAUGACGCAUGAGGCGGUUCACUUGAUUUCCCAAAUGCUAGUUUUCAACCCGGAUAAACGGAUGUCCGUUAUGGACGCACUAGUCCAUCCUUAUAUAGACGAGGGUCGCCUCAGGUAUCAUAGUUGUAUGUGUAAAUGCUGUUUCACGGUACCAUUGACGGGUCUCCGGCAUUUCUGCAUGGACUAUGAACCGGUUGCGCCGCAGACGUUCGAUGACAAAUGGGAGAAGAAAAUGUCAAACGUACAACAAGUCAAAGAGGAACUUCACAAGUUUAUCGGUGACCAGUUGAGCAGUCACCGCGUGCCAUUGUGCAUAAAUCCCCAGUCGGCGGCAUUUAAAAGUUUCUCGAGGUAAGGCUGUGAGAAACGUCCAACUCUUCUGAAUCACCAAAUAUACAUACUACACCUCGACUAACCGUGAUGUUUGAUCGGAGCAGACUGCCUCAAUUCCUUAUAUUUAUAUGUAUUUACACUGUAUAUAUAUAUAUAUUAUAUUAACGUGAUAACCGGAUCUCAAAUUGGGCCCCCCGAGACCGAGACUGAAUGAAUAUAACAUAACACAAUGAAAUCGAGACAAGAAGAUUAAACAUAAAAAAAAAAAUUGUACAUAGUUCUGAAUUUUUUUUUCUUUUUAUUGUAUGUGUGAGAAAAAUGCUUGAUUUUUACUUAUUUUGACGAUUGAAAGCUCAGUGUCCCAACUUUUAUUUUAUUUUAUUUUUUUAGUACGCUUAUUUUCUUAUAAUUAUUAUAUUUUUUUUUUUUUUUUUA